rnacentral:tmRNA from 1 species
AGCUACGGUAGAAUCUUGUCUAGGGAUUUUACAAGAGAUUGAUAGACUCGCUUGAUUUGGGCUUGAGUUAUGUGUCAAAAUCAAGUUAAAACAAUACAUAGCCUAUGGUUGUAGACAAAUGUGUUGGCAGAUGUUUGGACGUGGGUUCGACUCCCACCGGCUCCAUAU